rnacentral:rRNA from 1 species
UACGUAGGGGGCGAGCGUUGUCCGGAUUUAUUGGGCGUAAAGAGCUCGUAGGCGGUUCGGUAAGUCGGAUGUGAAAUCUCCACGCUCAACGUGGAGGGGCCAUUCGAUAGCUGCCGUGACUCGAGUCCGGUAGGGGAGUGUGGAAUUCCCGGUGUAGCGGUGAAAUGCGCAGAGAUCGGGAGGAACACCCGUAGCGAAGGCGGCACUCUGGGCCGGAACUGACGCUGAGGAGCGAAAGCGUGGGUAGCAAACAGG